ACCGCGGUUAAACGAAUAGCCCUAGUUGAUAGCAUCACGGCGUAAAGGGUGGUUAAGGAAGAUAAAAAUAAAGUUAAAUGGCCCUCAGGCUGUCAUACGCUUCUAGGAGUCCGAAGCCCAAAUACGAAAGUUACUUCAAUAAAUUUCACCUGACCCCACGAAAGCUGAGAAACAAACUGGGAUUAGAUACCCCACUAUGCUCAGCCGUAAACCAAGACAUACACAUACAAUAAUGUCCGCCCGGGUACUACGAGCGUUAGUUUAAAACCCAAAGGACCUGACGGUGCCUUAAACCCCCCUAGAGGAGCCUGUUCUAGAACCGAUAAUCCCCGUUAAACCUCACCAUUUCUGGCCAACCCAGCCUAUAUACCACCGUCGCCAGCUUACCCUGUGAAGGAAUAAAAGUAAGCAAAAAGAGCACAACCCUAAACGUCAGGUCGAGGUGUAGCGAACGAAAUGGGAAGAAAUGGGCUACAUUUUCUACAACAGAAAAUUACGAAUAUGCAGUAUGAAAUAAUGCUUAAAGGAGGAUUUAGUAGUAAAAAGGAAAUAGAGUGUCUUUUUGAACCCGGCCCUGAGGCACGUACACACCGCCCGUCACUCUCCCCCGUCACAAUGCAUAAAACCUAUCUAACACAAAAGCACCGACAAGAGGAGGCAAGUCGUAACAAG
rnacentral:rRNA from 1 species